rnacentral:rRNA from 1 species
CAUGUCUUUUUGAUUAUAAUUUAAAGUCUAGCCUGCCCUAUGAUUAAAAAUUAAAUGGCUGCAGUAUUUUGACUGUACAAAGGUAGCAUAAUAAUUAGUUUUUUAAUUGGAAACUGGUAUGAAAGGUUGAACGAGAGAAAAGCUGUCUCAAUUUAAUUUAAAUUAGAAUUUUAUUUUUAAGUUAAAAAGCUUAAAUAAUUUUAAAAGACGAGAAGACCCUAUAGAGUUUUAUAUAAAUUUUAUUUCAUUAAUUUUUAAGUUGUAAAUUUUGUUGAAUUAAAGUUUGUAUUUGGUUGGGGUGAUUAAAAAAUUUAAAUAACUUUUUUGAUAAAAAAAACAUAAAUUUAUGAAUAAAUGAUCCAUAUAUAAUGAUUAAUAGAUUAAAUUACCUUAGGGAUAACAGCGUUAUUUUUUUUGAGAGUUCUUAUCGAAAAAAAAGUUUGCGACC